GGAGUUGGACAUGGGGGAGAGUUAUCAAUGAUCUUCUAUCAAAAGAAUCAAGACUAUAACUUUGAUCCUGAAUCAGAAGAAGAGAAAGUGCGCAGAAAUAUGUUGCGUCUCUGGACGAAUUUCGCAAAAUAUGGGAACCCAACCCCUGAGGCUGAUCCUGUGAUUUGGGAACCAUACGACCAGAGCAGCCGCAGCUACCUGCUGAUGCAGGCCAACUUUACACUCGCACACGACAGGCUUGGGGAGCGCCUGGGAUUCUGGAGAGAGAACGUGCCACUGCUGCCAUUUCCCGACACACAGUGAUAGACACACCAUAAGAGAUAUGCACAGACAAAGGAGGAAACGAAAAACAGCAGAUUACAGCUGAGUACUGAGUGUCAGCAAAGAACUCACCCAAGAAUUUGAGCCAGAUACCUGUUCUGCAUAUCUGCUAAACCAUUGUGAAAUGCAUCACGUAAAAUAGAUCGCCAAUGCGCUUUCAGGCGUCAA